GACGAACGCUGGCGGCGUGCCUAAUACAUGCAAGUCGAGCGCAGGAAACUGACGGAACUCUUCGGAGGGAAGGCAGUGGAAUGAGCGGCGGACGGGUGAGUAACACGUAAGGAACCUGCCUCAAGGAUUGGGAUAACUCCGAGAAAUCGGAGCUAAUGCCGGAUAGUUCAACGGACCGCAUGGUCCGCUGAUGAAAGGCGCUACGGCGUCCCCUUGAGAUGGCCUUGCGGUGCAUUAGCUAGUUGGUGGGGUAACGGCCCACCAAGGCGACGAUGCAUAGCCGACCUGAGAGGGUGAUCGGCCACACUGGGACUGAGACACGGCCCAGACUCCUACGGGAGGCAGCAGUAGGGAAUCUUCCACAAUGGACGAAAGUCUGAUGGAGCAACGCCGCGUGAGUGAUGAAGGUUUUCGGAUCGUAAAACUCUGUUGUAAGGGAAGAACACGUACGAGAGGAAAUGCUCGUACCUUGACGGUACCUUACGAGAAAGCCACGGCUAACUACGUGCCAGCCGCCGCGGUAA
rnacentral:rRNA from 1 species